CUGACAGCAGCUUUGCCAAGAAGAAAACAAGCCUUUAGUAACUGUAUAAAACAGGCUGGUUUGAUCAACAUGUCACUCCCUGAAGCUGAAAUAUCUGGACGAGAGAGACAGUGAGCAGGACUGUCAUCAUCUGGCCACCGAGAGCACUCCCUGUCUGAGACAAUCAGUUCCCAGCUGACCUUCAGCCAUGAAGUUCCUUUACCUUCUCUCUGCUAUUGUCUUCUUGAUGCUCAUGGAUGCCCCAGGUUUCUCCCAUGCUCUGGUGACCCGCAAAGCGUGUAGAUACCGUGGGGGUGACUGUCACUUUUGGAAAUGUCCCACCAGUGCUUUAUACAUUGAAAAAUGCGUUUUUGGCCAUUGCUGUCGAAGUGGGAAAAUUGUUGCUGGUGAUAACCCACAGGCUUGAUGGCCUUCUAAGGAGAUUUUCUGAAAUUGUGCAAGCAGAAUCUCAGGGAACUGGGGAGACAGCCACUUGCUUCUAAAAUCAUCAGAUCCUGCUUCAAUGGAACCCUGAAGUGGUGCUGUUCAUUUGGGCUUUAAAGAACCUUGUGAGCUGUAGAAAUUUAGAAGGGAGCUCUUUUAGCACCCCUAUAAGAUUUGUUACUCCCCUUUUAAUAAAAGCAAGCUGGUGUGAGAGCAUCA